rnacentral:rRNA from 1 species
AACGCGAAGAACCUUACCAGGUCUUGACAUCCUCUGACAACCCUAGAGAUAGGGCUUCCCCUUCGGGGGCAGAGUGACAGGUGGUGCAUGGUUGUCGUCAGCUCGUGUCGUGAGAUGUUGGGUUAAGUCCCGCAACGAGCGCAACCCUUGAUCUUAGUUGCCAGCAUUCAGUUGGGCACUCUAAGGUGACUGCCGGUGACAAACCGGAGGAAGGUGGGGAUGACGUCAAAUCAUCAUGCCCCUUAUGACCUGGGCUACACACGUGCUACAAUGGGCAGAACAAAGGGCAGCGAAGCCGCGAGGCUAAGCCAAUCCCACAAAUCUGUUCUCAGUUCGGAUCGCAGUCUGCAACUCGACUGCGUGAAGCUGGAAUCGCUAGUAAUCGCGGAUCAGCAUGCCGCGGUGAAUACGUUCCCGGGUCUUGUACACACCG